CAACCCUUCUGGAGCCCUACC
rnacentral:miRNA from 1 species